UCGACAGUCUUGAGAUAAUUACAAAAUCCCCAAUUCAAAAACCCUAAAAGAUUUCCAAUUCGUAAACCUAAAUCAAAGAAGAUUAAUGAAGCAAAUUUUGUCGUGUGAAGGAGGUUUGUAGUUUAAUAUCAAACAAAUCAAACGAAAUGAAUCACAGUGAACCUUUCAUGAAGAUGCACAUUACUUAUGGAGGGUUGAUGUCGCUUGAAGAGAAUAAGUUCUCUUAUUCUGGUGGAAGGUUGGCCAAGGAUUAUCGUAUAGAUCCAGAUUUGAUGACUUUGUCAAUUUUCCAGGAAUUCACAGAAAAACAAGGAGUUGCAAAUGGCGUGGAGAAAGUUUGGUACAGACUACCGAGUGAGAACAUUUCAGUCGCAAGAUGCAUAUACAAAAACAAGGACAACGAGAUCAGAAAGAUGUGUUCAGAAGUAGCAGAAGUGGGUGAAGUUUAUGUGUACAUCGAACAUGGUGUGUGUGUCUCAACCAAUUAUGGGUAAUGCUUCUGAUAUAGAAGCACAUUUGGCUGGUGGAGAUGAUGGUGAAGAUGCUGAUAAUGAAAAAGAAGAUGAAGAAGAAGAAGAAGAGGUUUCUGAUGGUGAGUUAGGUCCAGAAGAAAACAAUGAUGAUGAGGUUGGUAAUGAUGAAAACAGAGAGUCUGAAAGCGAAUAUGAGAAUGGAAAUGCUGGUGAAGAGCAUGCUAAUGAAAGAGAUGGUCAGCCAUCUGAAGAUGAAGCUGAAAUUGUAGGUGAUGGAGCUGUAGAUGCUAGAUUUGAAAAUUUGUUUGCAAAUGCUGAAGAGGAAGCAAUGACAAGGUACGAUACUACUCAUGUAUGUGGUGAGUCUAGCUAAGAUAGUGAAAAUGAAGAGGAGAAUGUAACUGAGGUUGGUGAAUAUCCGGAUUCUCCAGUUGAUACUGAUGAAGAGUGGGCAAACUUGGUAGACGUACGUGUAGGAAAGGAAAAAGAAGCGUGACUGACUAUGACAAGCCACCAUACUUGUGGCUAAUGCAGACGUUUAACAACGGAGACGAGUUCAAAGAUCAAUUGUUGAGGUAUGUUCUGAAAACUCAGUGUGAUGUGAAGCUUAAUAGGUGGGAGUCUACAAAACAAGCAGCAAUAUGCACUGAGCCAAAACGUGAUUGGAGAAUAUAUUGCUCUGUGGAGAAACCUAUCAGAAAAUGGAUGGUUAAAGUCUAUGAAGACAAGCACAAUCACGUGCCUACGGGAAGAGCAAGGAUGCUAAAACAAGGAACUAUUGCCAAGUUGUUUAAAGAGGAAGCAAGAAGAAGACCUGACAUAAGAAGUACAUACAUUAAGGAUGAGUUGAUGCACAUGUACAACGUAUUGGUUUCAAUUUAUAAGUGCAGAAAAGCAAGAAGGAUUGCCUUAGAUAUGGUGUUGGAAACUCAGAAGCAACAAUUUUAGAAGUUGUGGGACUAUGAAGCCGAGUUAUUGCGAUCUAACAAGGACACUACUACAGAGAUUGUGACUGUCGAGAAGGAUGGUAAACAAGUAUUUGAUCGCUUCUAUGUCUGUUUUGAACCUCUUAGAAGAACUUGGAAGAGAUCUUGUCGUCCUUUGAUAGGUUUAGAUGGUGCUUUUUUAAAGUGGGAAUUGAAGGGAGAGAUAUUAUCAGCAGUUGGUAGGGAUGCAGAAAAUAGAAUUUAUCCUAUAGCUUGGGCUGUUGUAAGGGGCGAAGACAAGGAUUCUUGGGAAUGGUUCAUUACAAAAUUGAAAAACGACUUGGAUUUAGGCUUAGGAGAUGGAUACUCUUUUCACUCAGACAAGCAAAAGGGUUUACAAAUUGCUCUUGCUACUGUUCUCCCAAAUGCUGAGCAUAGGGUAUGUGCAAGGCAUGUGUAUGGAAAUUGGAAGAAAAAGUUUGGGGAUCUUGACUAUAAGCCUUUCUUCUGGAAAGUGGCAUAUAGUUACACUAAAGGAGAGUAUACACUGCACAUGGAUGAGCUGCUUUUGUAUGACAGAGAGGCGUAUGAAACAUUGUUGGCUGCAGAACAGAACAUUGGUGUCGAGCUUUCUUCUCAAAAACUGGAAGGUCGGCUAAUGUUUGCAACAACCUUUCAGAAAGCUUCAACCGGACCAUCAAAAAGGCUAGGGAAUUGCCUUUGAUUAAUAUGUUGGAAACCAUCAGAAGACAAGCCAUGAUGCGUAUUUCUCGUAGGUUUAAGAGGGCAGCCAAAUGUAUAAUGCAAUUCCCGCAAAGAAUAGCAGAUGUGUUGGAGGUGAAUAGAAAAAAACAGCAAAGACUGCCAAAUCAUGGUAAGUAGUGAUAACUUGUAUGAGGUUUUAGUGCAUGAUUUAAGUCAUGAGAUCAGCCUGAGAAUGGGAACGUGUGCUUGUGGGCGUUGGGACCUAGUUGGUAUACCUUGCAACCAUGCAAUUUGUGUCAUCAAUGACAUUCGUCGAAAACCAGAAGAGUAUGUUGUUAACUACUAUAAAACUCCAGUGUGGAUAGACACAUAUAGGGACAACAUCAAACCAGUCAAUGGGGAGCUCUAUUGGAAUAAAACUGGUAAGGGACCCAUUGGUGUUCCUGGAUUUAAAAAGAUGCCAGGACGUCCUAAGAAAAAGAGAAUUGCACCAGCUCAUGAGUCCCCAUCAAAGCCCAAUAGAACAACUCAUGGGAGGAGGACUAUCACUUGUAGUAAUUGCAAACAGGUUGGACAUAACAAAGAGACUUGUAAGAAUCAAUCUUUUGUGGUUGAAGGUCCAAAACGAAAACGUGGAAGACCUCGAUGAUACCUGUUGAUGGUGAAAGCUACCCGUCUCCUCCACCUAAAAGACAAA